AUUCUUCUCAGUUUAGAUAAUGAUGAUUGGUUUUAUCACAAUUAUUUGUGAAAUGUGCUGCCAAAUUGACUUGUUACAAUUCAGCACACUAACCGUCUGAUU
rnacentral:snoRNA from 1 species